CACGCUAAUUUCUUCUCUGUAACAUGAUUUCCCAGAUCAAAUUCAUCAUUUCUCCGUACCAUUGCCGUGGUUAUUAAGCCAGAUUAUAAAACCAAGCCUUCUAGGGAUCAUGCUUAGAAAUAAGAUGCUAACAUUGUGACAACCCUGAUCAAAUCUAGAGUCUUUUUCGAAAAUCGGGUCAAGUCUCAAUUCCGAGUCCGGAAUAAGCUGAAGCAUACGGUCCGGAAUAAGCUGAAGCAUACGGUCUCAAUGCAGCCAACUGGGGAAAACAACAAGUCCACCAUUGGCCCCCAAAAAUCAUGAUUUAUUGUUGCAUUAGUAGUAGUACUUUACCUUAUAAAUUGAACAGAAGUCCUCAAUCUUAUCGAUGUAGGACUGGAUUGUUAUAAACUUCCCCACUUAAAAUCCUGACGUACUCGUCAAGCCUGAACAUACAACCCAAAAGUUCAAGAUUGCACCUCUCUAGUCAUUA
rnacentral:lncRNA from 1 species